rnacentral:rRNA from 1 species
AACGAACGCUGGCGGCAGGCUUAACACAUGCAAGUCGAACGCCCCGCAAGGGGAGUGGCAGACGGGUGAGUAACGCGUGGGAAUCUACCGUACCCUACGGAACAACAGUUGGAAACGACUGCUAAUACCGUAUACGCCCUACGGGGGAAAGAUUUAUCGGGGUAUGAUGAGCCCGCGUUGGAUUAGCUAGUUGGUGGGGUAAAGGCCUACCAAGGCGACGAUCCAUAGCUGGUCUGAGAGGAUGAUCAGCCACAUUGGGACUGAUACACGGCCCAAAAUCCUACGGGAGGCAGCAGUGGGGAAUAUUGGACAAUGGGCGCAAGCCUGAUCCAGCCAUGCCGCGUGAGUGAUGAAGGUCUUAGGAUUGUAAAGCUCUUUCACCGAUGAAGAUAAUGACGGUAGUCGGAGAAGAAGCCCCGGCUAACUUCGUGCCAGCCGCCGCGGUAA